UACAGAGGUGGCAAGCGUUGUUCGGAAUUACUGGGCGUAAAGGGCGCGUAGGCGGCCAUCUAAGUCAGACGUGAAAUCCCCCGGCUUAACCUGGGAACUGCGUCUGAUACUGGACGGCUUGAGUAUGGGAGAGGGAUGUAGAAUUCCAGGUGUAGCGGUGAAAUGCGUAGAUAUCUGGAGGAAUACCGGUGGCGAAGGCGACAUCCUGGACCAUUACUGACGCUGAGGCGCGAAAGCGUGGGUAGCAAACAGGA
rnacentral:rRNA from 1 species